UACGUAGGGUGCAAGCGUUAAUCGGAAUUACUGGGCGUAAAGCGUGCGCAGGCGGUUGUGUAAGACAGAUGUGAAAUCCCCGGGCUCAACCUGGGAACUGCAUUUGUGACUGGCACAUGCUGGAGUGCGGCAGAGGGGGAUGGAAUUCCGGCGUGUAGCAGUGAAAUGCGUAGAUAUGCGGAGGAACACCGAUGGCGAAGGCAAUCCCCUGGGCCUGCACUGACGCUCAUGCACGAAAGCGUGGGGAGCAAACAGG
rnacentral:rRNA from 1 species